rnacentral:rRNA from 1 species
GAUGAACGCUGGCGGCGUGCCUAAUACAUGCAAGUCGAGCGAAUGGAUUAAGAGCUUGCUCUUAUGAAGUUAGCGGCGGACGGGUGAGUAACACGUGGGUAACCUGCCCAUAAGACUGGGAUAACUCCGGGAAACCGGGGCUAAUACCGGAUAACAUUUUGAACCGCAUGGUUCGAAAUUGAAAGGCGGCUUCGGCUGUCACUUAUGGAUGGACCCGCGUCGCAUUAGCUAGUUGGUGAGGUAACGGCUCACAAAGGCAACGAUGCGUAGCCGACCUAGGAGGGUGAUCGGCCACACGGGGACUGAGACACGGCCCAGACUCCUACGGGAGGCAGCAGUAGGGAAUCCUCCGCAAUGGACGAAAGUCUGACGGAGCAGCGCCGCGUGAGUGAUGAAGGCUUUCGGGUCGUAAAACUCUGUUGUUAGGGAAGAACAAGUGCUAGUUGAAUAAGCUGGCACCUUGACGGUACCUAACCAGAAAGCCACGGCUAACUACGUGCCAGCAGCCGCCGCGG